UACGUAGGGUGCGAGCGUUAAUCGGAUUUACUGGGCGUAAAGGGCGCGUAGGCGGCGGGUCAAGUCGAGUGUGAAAGCCCCGGGCUCAACCUGGGAAUUGCGCUCGAGACUGGUCUGCUUGAGUUCGGGAGAGGAGCGUGGAAUUCCCAGUGUAGAGGUGAAAUUCGUAGAUAUUGGGAAGAACACCGGUGGCGAAGGCGGCGCUCUGGACCGAGACUGACGCUGAGGCGCGAAAGCGUGGGGAGCAAACAGG
rnacentral:rRNA from 1 species